UAAAAUAAUGGUUCUCUAGGUUGAGUUUUAAAUCUUUUUUAAGGUUUAAAAUUCCUUGGAGAAUUCCAAUCAACCCUUUGUGCACUGUAAAUGUUUUUUCGAGUACUUUUUAAAAGUGCUCGACAAUAUUUAAAACCCCAUUUUUAAUUUUGUCUGAAUUUUUUAUGAAAAUAAAAAAAUA
rnacentral:misc_RNA from 1 species